GAUGAACGCUGGCGGCGUGCCUAACACAUGCAAGUCGAACGAGAAGCUAAUUUCUGAUUCCUUCGGGGAGAUGAAGUUGGUAGAAAGUGGCGAACGGGUGAGUAACGCGUGGGUAAUCUACCCUGUUAGUGGGGGAUAACCCUCCGAAAGGAGGGCUAAUACCGCAUAAGGUCUUCACUUCUUAAGAAGUAAAGAUUAAAGAUGGCCUCUAUACUAUGCUAUCGCUUCAGGAUGAGCCCGCGUCCUAUUAGUUAGUUGGUGGGGUAAUGGCCUACCAAGACCACAAUGGGUAGCCGGUCUGAGAGGAUGUACGGCCACACUGGGACUGAGAUACGGCCCAGACUCCUACGGGAGGCAGCAGUGGGGAAUAUUGCGCAAUGGGGGAAACCCUGACGCAGCGACGCCGCGUGGAUGAUGAAGGCCUUUGGGUUGUAAAAUCCUGUUCUGGGGGAAGAAACCUUAAGGGUCCAAUAAACCCUUAAGCUGACGGUACCCCGAGAGAA
rnacentral:rRNA from 1 species